UUGAAUAAAUUUGGAUUAGGUUGUUGCUGGUCCUGCGGGGCACUGUGCACGCCUCUUCCUAUAUUUACACCCACCUGUGCACUUUGUGUAGAUCUGAAUAACUUUCGAGAUUAACUCGGUCUGGGAAACUGCUGUGUAUUAAUGCGCGGCUUUUCUUCGCUUUCGGAUCUAUGUUUUCACUAUACUCCAUACAAAGUAUUUGAAUGUAACACAGGCUCUAUGUGCCUAUAAAAUAUACAAUACAACUUUCAACAACGGAUCUCUUGGCUCUCGCAUCGAU
rnacentral:misc_RNA from 1 species